rnacentral:rRNA from 1 species
UCCUUAGAUGUCCUGGGCCGCACGCGCGUUACACUGAUGCAUUCAACGAGCUUAUAACCUUGGCCGAGAGGCCUGGGCAAUCUUAUUAACGUGCAUCGUGAUAGGGAUAGAUUAUUGAAAUUAUUAAUCUUGAACGAGGAAUUCCUAGUAAACGCAGAUCAUCAAUCUGCAUUGAUUACGUCCCUGCCCUUUGUACACACCGCCCGUCGCACCUACCGAUUGGAUGGUCCGGUGAAGCCUCGGGAUUGUGGUUCUUGCCGCUUUAUUGUGGCGUGACCGCGAGAACUUGUCUAAACCUUAUCAUCUAGAGGAAGGUGAAGUCGUAACA